rnacentral:miRNA from 1 species
GACUAUUCAUGAGGUGGGCUAAUA